CACGUAGGGCGCAAGCGUUGUCCGGAAUUAUUGGGCGUAAAGAGCUCGUAGGCGGUCUGUUGCGUCCGCUGUGAAAACCCGAGGCUCAACCUCGGGCCUGCAGUGGGUACGGGCAAACUAGAGUGCGGUAGGGGAGAAUGGAAUUCCUGGUGUAGCGGUGAAAUGCGCAGAUAUCAGGAAGAACACCCGUGGCGAAGGCGGCUCUCUGGGACGGUACUGACGCUGAGACGCGAAAGCGUGGGGAGCGAACAGG
rnacentral:rRNA from 1 species